GUUUGUUAUUGGUGGAACUCUGUGUACCUCGAUAUAGCUCUGUUAAGCCCAUCCGUUGUUUUAGCUGAAUAGUCUGUAGGAACGUCUUGUUCAAUUAGAAAAACAACAACUUUGGACCUUAUAAAGCUUCUCUACCAUUCAUUUUGUUUCCCUUUUUUCUCCUGUUUAAUGUGCCCUGCUGCUGUUUCCAGUGCAGUCCUACCUGUUAGCUGCGAUGUAACACAUGAACAGGAUGCUGGCGUACAUGUUGAGGUAGAAGGCAGAGGCACCAAAGUUGCAGUAGACCCGUCGGAUGAAGACAGAGCUGCUGGCGUAGUUGGUGAUUCGGAGUGGCAGACAGAGGCUGAUCAGGAAGUCGGCGGCUGACAGGUUCUUCAGGUAGAUGGUCACGCUGCUGGACACCUGCUGCUGAGCUCGGCAGAAAUAAACCUUCAGGGUGAAACCGUUGAGGAGCAAACCCACCUGCAGAGGAGACAGAGACCGGAUUUACAGUCUGGAGUUGAUUUGAUAUUUAUUGGGUCAGUUCAAACAACAAAUCCUUUCCUCAGACAGAGAAAGAGACUCACCAGAAACACCACAGUGUAGACCAGCAGGAAGAAGAUGUGGGCCGAGGUGUCGACCUGAUCACAGACAGUCGAACUGCUUCCAUUCGUCAGGUUGAAUUCUGAGGAUUGGUUGAAGAAGGGAGUCACUCCCACUCCUCCAUGUUCCUGCAUGUUUCUAGACGUUCCAAGAGAGUUUAGUGAAUGAUGUGUUGGUUCAAACAUCAUCUUUCUGCAUGUAGGAACUGUUUGAAGCUGAUAGAGAAGUGACAGAUCACCACAGCCGUAGCAGAGAAAGCCUCAACAGCACGAACACUAAAAUACACCACAGGUAGCCCAAAGAGCUCGACCUAAAAGAACAUUUAAAUCUGACAUCUCUGCUGGCCAGUCACAUGAUGUACCAGAGUCUAGAAUCAGACCUCAGUACCCUGGUUGUAAAGCUGCUCUUAAGGCUGCCAACUGCACAUUUCAUCUAGAAAAAACUGUGAUACGAUGUCUAAUAACAUAAAUAGUAUCAAUCUGUUUAUUAAUGCCUUAGAGGGAAACCUGCUGGUUUUGCUUACAAGCAUUACAGGUAAGAGGUUAAAACUAAAGUACAGACUGCACAUGAACAUUGCAAACAUCUGUCAGUCUGUGAAAGAUUUUGAGAAAAUGUCACAUGAGCUUUUAUUUCUACAAAAAAAUUUUGAUCCUGAUACUUUGUAUUUUUACUGCCGAUUUGUAAUGCAGUAUUUUUACAUUGUAGUAAUUCUUACCAUGAGUAUUUCAAUACGUCCUCCCCCACUACUGAUUUCAAUAAAAAUCUAAAACUCU